AAACCAAGAAGAUUAAGUUAUGUAUUUUCGGUAAAAAGAUAGUUAAGCAAGAUAAGAAGUUUUUUAAAUUAUUAUUGAGAAGUAAAAUUCGUAAAUAACCUAGAAACUUAGUCAAAACUAAAAAGCUGAAGCUAUGACACCCUAGAGGGAAACUGGGAUUAGAUACCCCACUAUUCUUGGAUGUAAAAAGAUAUAAAUUUACCAGAGUACUAUGGAUUGAUAACAUUUAAAACUCAAAGAGCUUGGCGGUGUUUUAGACUCUUUAGGGGAACCUGUCUCAUAAUCGACAAUCCGCGUUGAACCUGACCUUUAUUUGUAUAACAGUUUGUAUACCGUCGUCGUCAGGUAACUUUUUAGAAAAAAGAAGUUAGCAAUUGAGUUUAUAAUAAACUCUUACGUCAGAUCAAGGUGCAGCUAACAUAAAGGGGAGGAUGGGUUACAAUUAUAAAAAUUAUAAAUACGAAAUAACAGCUUUAAACAGCAGUCAUGAAGGAGGACUUAAAAGUAAAAUAAAAUAGAUAAACAUAUUGAAUUGAGCUCUGAAACGUGC
rnacentral:rRNA from 1 species